CGAGGGCCUAGCAUAAAAGGGCUCCGAUGCCAGGCUCACCAGUCCUCAGCCUUACCAGGUUCAGAACGUGCUCCUUCUGCUGAACAGGUUUACAGACAUCCUCUAAAAAAAUGUCCUGCCAGCAAAGCCAACAGCAGUGCCAGCCCCCUCCCAAGUGUGCCCCCAAGUGCCCUCCCAAGUGCCAGACUCCAAAGUGUCCCCCCAAGUGUCCUCCCAAGUGCCCCCCUGUGUCUUCCUGCUGUAGCCUGGGUUCUGGGGGCUGCUGUGGCUCCAGCUCUGGGGGCUGCUGCAGCUCUGGGGGUGGUGGCUGCUGCCUGAGCCACCACAAGCCCCGCAGAUCUCUCCGUCGCCAUCGUCACAGCUCUGGAUGUAGCAGUGGUGGCAGCAGUGGUUGCUGUGGCAGCAGUGGUGGCAGCAGUGGAUGCUGUGGCAGCAGUGGCAGUAGCCAGCAGUCUGGGGGCUGCUGCUGACCUGGGUCUCGAAGACUGCCGACCAACAGUAAAGGAGGAGACCAUGCUCAGAGGACCUGCUCCUGCCUGCUAUUCAUCUCAUCUCUUCCCGUCUUUCAUGUUCUGGACUCUGAGAUGAUGAAAUUUUAUGCGAAGUUUCAAAUUGUGCCCCCCUAGCCAUACCCCCUGCUGUGAUUCAAAAUAAAAUCUUUCCUACCAGUCUU